rnacentral:rRNA from 1 species
GAUGAACGCUAGCUACAGGCUUAACACAUGCAAGUCGAGGGGAAACGAUAUUGGAAGCUUGCUUCCGAUAGGCGUCGACCGGCGCACGGGUGAGUAACGCGUAUCCAACCUGCCCAUCACUUGGGGAUAACCUUGCGAAAGUAAGACUAAUACCCAAUGACGUCUCAAGAAGACAUCUGAAAGAGAUUAAAGAUUUAUCGGUGAUGGAUGGGGAUGCGUCUGAUUAGCUUGUUGGCGGGGUAACGGCCCACCAAGGCGACGAUCAGUAGGGGUUCUGAGAGGAAGGUCCCCCACAUUGGAACUGAGACACGGUCCAAACUCCUACGGGAGGCAGCAGUGAGGAAUAUUGGUCAAUGGACGAGAGUCUGAACCAGCCAAGUAGCGUGCAGGAUGACGGCCCUAUGGGUUGUAGACUGCUUUUAUAAGGGAAUAAAGUGAGAGUCGUGACUCUUUUUGCAUGUACCUUAUGAAUAAGGACCGGCUAAUUCCGUGCCAGCCGCCGUAACAC